UACAGAGGUCUCAAGCGUUACCCGGAUUCAUUGGGCGUAAAGCGCGUGUAGGCGGCUGGCCAAGUGUGACGUGAAAUCUCUCGGCUCAACCGAGAAACUGCGUUGCAAACUGGUCUGGCUAGAGUGCGGUAGAGGGUAGUGGAAUUCCCGGUGUAGCGGUGAAAUGCGUAGAGAUCGGGAGGAACACCAGUGGCGAAGGCGGCUACCUGGACCAGCACUGACACUGAGGCACGAAAGCGUGGGGAGCAAACAGG
rnacentral:rRNA from 1 species